rnacentral:lncRNA from 1 species
AGUGUAAUUAAGUGGGAUACAGGAAUCUGACAAAACAGUAAGCGGGAUCCGGGAUCAGAACCCCCCAAUGACACCCCCUUAAUAAGAACUAGUAGAGUAACUUAGAUCAUGUUAUUAAGCCUUUACAUGUCCAAGAAGAAAACAUGAUCAUGCAUUUGAAUUAGUGAGAGAGAGAAAACAUGCGUGUAACGAUGAAUCAACUUUCGUUAAAACACGCUUCAUGGCAUUACAAUGACUGGUAUACAAUGUCUAUUCUGGACACAAAAGUCAUACAACAAGCUAAGCAAUUAAAGUAUGUUGAGUCAUUUUAGCGUGCCAAUAUUGUUUUAAAUCAGUGACGCAAAUUAUCAGGCAGGCCAUCUAGUGGUGAGUUUACUCGUAAUAAAUAACUUCAAGGACAAGCCGC